rnacentral:misc_RNA from 1 species
UCUCCGUUAUCCGAAGCGGUUUCACUAGAGUGCCCGGCUUGACCCGAUGGCAACUAGGGAUAAGGGUUGCGCUCGUUGCGGGACUUAACCCAACACCUCACGGCACGAGCUGACGACAGCCAUGCAGCACCUGUGCUAGCUCCCCGAAGGGUCCUUCAUGUUUCUAAUCCGUACUACUAGCAUGUCAAGCCUUGGUAAGGUUCUUCGCGUUGCAUCGAAUUAAACCACACGCUCCGCCGCUUGUGCGGGCCCCCGUCAAUUCCUUUGAGUUUCAGCCUUGCGGCCGUACUCCCCAGGCGGAGAACUUAUCGCGUUUGCUACGAUACUAAAGAGUCUAAGCUCCCUAACAUCUAGUUCUCAUCGUUUACGGCGUGGACUAC